CUCAGUUCUGGUGAUGGAGAACCGCUGCCCUGCAUGUCUUGAUGUUUUCCAGCUGUAACACAUCCACCUCUCUCACACAGGGCUUGCUGAUUACUUCAUUAGUUAGAUCAGGUGUGUUUGAAGAGGUGGGAACUUAGGGUACCAAUCCACCAUGGUUCUAUACUCCACAUACCUCCAUUAUGAGACCCACCUCUUCUCCAUCUCCCACCAGGUUCAAACAUUUUUCUUCAGGGCCUUGUAAAGAAAAACUGCUUGAGGGCAUCCAUCCUUUCUCAGUUUCUGCCCACACUAUACUCAGCAACAGUAAUUUGGUAAUGGCUUGUGGUCAGUGAAGAUGAUAGGAGUCAACUGUCCAGCUGUUACACUUACAGUACAUUCCACACUACACUUUAUGCUGCCUUUGGAUGUUGGAUGCAAGGGUUGGACACAUUCUUUCAUCCUGUUGUUCUUCAGUGGUCAGGACCUCCACCAGAGCAGGUUGUCCACCUCCAAGAGGUAUGCUCUCGUGUGGAGCAGUGAACCACUCGGUCAUCUCAAAAAUCCUGGGAUAACCGUGUAAGAUAUUACUCCAUCCAUCAGCGCUCCCUCUCCACCAGGCACUCUGGAUUUAAUCCAUUCAAGUGCACCCAUUCUCUCUCUCUCAGGUCUGACAUUGAGCGGCUGGGGAAGGACUCUGUGUUGACAUCUUGGUGUGGGGAUCACCCCUUUAUUCAGCCAUCACCUCCAUCUCUGCCUCUUUCAAUAAUAUCCCAGCUCAGGGGGUCAGGCCGAUGUGGCUUCUCCUCCAAUCCCAGAGAUCAGCUGGGUGAAAGGAGGCGAUGAAGGAGGCUCUGCCUGUUGACAGGGGCAGCGUGAUCUGUCUAAACAACUGCUCCUGGUAAUGACAGCUAAUGAAGGACCUCCCAUAACAGCACGGGGUAAAACUGUGCAGGAAUUCAUAACAAACAAGCUUACAAGCAAGUUUUGGUGACUAGAGGGGGUCACCUCUGAUAGCUAGGCGCUCUGAAAAGAGAAGAUGUCACAGUUGGCAGGACGAUUGCAAGGAAAG
rnacentral:lncRNA from 1 species